ACUUCCCUGGAAUUUCACUGUUUACACAUAUGGUAAAGAUGGCUCACUCAUCACUGAGAGACCUGACAUGCAGAAUCACUGUCACUACAGAGGCUAUGUGGAGGAUGUUGAGUUUUCAUCUGCAUCUGUCAGCCUCUGUUCUGGGCUCAGUGGGUUUUUGAUGGUAGGGAACACUACAUUGGGGAUUGAGCCUCUGGAGGGCUCAUCUGGCUUUGAGCAUGUGGUGUACCGCUUGGAGGAUGAGGAGACGGAACCUGUCACCUGUGGAACCCCCCACACCCAUCACCCUAGCGACAGUGACAUCUCCUCCAAAGCCCAGAACAUUGGCCACUCUCACAGUGGUAUGUCUGGGGAUUCUGUCAGUCAUUUACUCAGAAGGAGGCGAGCUAUUAUGCAGCAGACUCACUACGUGGAGCUGAUUAUAGUGGUGGAUUACAAUGGAUUCAAAGUAAUGGAUAAUGAAACCCGGGUUCAAGACCAGAUGAUACAGGUUGCAAAUCGCCUAGACAGUAUGUAUGCGCCGUUGAACAUCCGUGUGGUGCUGGUGGGGUUGGAGAUCUGGACGGCAGGGAACCUCAUCACUGUGGACAGAAAUGCUGGGGGCGUGCUGUCGCGCUUCAGGGAGUGGAGGGCACAGAAUCUGCUGCCCCGCCAUCGCCAUGACGCUGGCCAUUUUGUUGCGAAACAACAUUUUGGAAGUAUCGCUGGGCUGGCCUACGUUUCCACUGUCUGCAGUCAGUUGAGUGCUGCAAUAAACAUUUAUGGGAGCGUGGGCUACCUCUCAUCCAUUAUGUCCCAUGAACUAGGCCACAACCUGGGUAUGGGUCAUGAUCGUCCAGGCUGCCACUGCCCAGCCAAACAAUGCAGAAUGGGCGCCAAAGGCACAUGUGGAGACUCAUGUGUUGAUAUUGUUUUCAGCGACUGCAGUGCUGAUAGCUUUGAGAAGUUGAUGCUGAAAAUGGGCCACCAUAACUGUCUCCUCAACAUGCCACAGCCACACAAGGCCUACCGCAAGCCCUACUGCGGCAACAAGCUGCUGGACCCAGGGGAGGAAUGUGACUGUGGCUCGGAGGAGGAGUGCAAGAAGGACCUGUGCUGUGAGCCAAACACCUGUAAGCUGAAGUCCUGGGCUCAGUGUACCGAUGGGGAAUGCUGCAGGAACUGUAAAUUCCUGCCAGGUGGUUAUGAGUGCCGCAGCCGGUCAGAUGAGUGUGACCUUCCUGAAUACUGCAGCGGCUCGUCUCCUUUCUGCCCGGCUGAUGUCUUUGUGCAGAACGGGCAUGUCUGCAGGAACAACCAAUCAUAUUGCUACAAUGGCGAUUGCCAACACCAUGACACCCAAUGCAAGACCUUAUUUGGUUCCAAGGCAAGGUCUGCAGCAGAUGUGUGCUAUGAAUUUGUGAACUCUAAGGGGGACCGCUUUGGAAACUGUGGUGGCAACCGGGGGUGCAGUGCCAGGGAUGCCAAGUGUGGGAAGCUGCAGUGUGAAAAUGUUCAUUCGGACACCGUGUUUGACACUGAGCCCUCCAUCAUAUCAACCACCAUUGGUAAAAACAAGUGCUGGGGGGUGGACUUCAUGAUGGGGCCUGAUGUGUUGGAUCCAGGAAUGGUUAACGACGGAACAAAAUGUGGAGAAGACAAGGUGUGCUUGAAUAAUAAAUGCAAGGAUGUGUCAGAGCUCCAAUUUGACUGUGACAUGAAGGACAAAUGCCAUGGCCACGGGGUCUGUAACAACAAUAAAAACUGCCACUGUGAUUACGGAUGGGCUCCCCCUUUCUGUAAGGAAGAAGGCUAUGGAGGCAGCCUCGAUAGCGGCCCUACAUGGAACGAGAAAGACAAGGCCACCAGGGUUGGUUUGCUGAUAUAUUUCUUCCUAGUUCUUCCUCUGCUCCUGCUGGGUAUGACUGUGUUUAUUGGUUGGAACCAGCUGCAGCAGCACUUCUGCAGGAACAGGACUGAAUGUAGACAGCAGACCAACAAUCAAAACUCAGCCUCUCAGGCAGGAAACCCUACUACAGAUGGAGUGAGUCAGAACACACACACACACACACACACACUCACACUCACUCACACUGCAUAGACAUGGUGAGAAAACAGUUGUGAUUGUGUUUUAUGAAAAUUAACAAAGACUGCAAUUUCAUUUUGCUUUUUUUCUGAUUAUUUACAUUAAAUACUCAUACAUCUUCUGGACAGAAGAGAGCAUUUUUGUUCUUUAUUUCUAAAGGUAGAAGAUUGCUGUAGAUUCACCUUCCUGAAGAGUGUGAUUAGAUUCAACAGAUCACACUGAAAUGGCUCAAUCAUCCUAAUUCAUCUUUAACACAGGAAAAUAAAAGAGUAAUCUAUGCUGAUAAUGUGGCGGUUAUAAUAGUUGAAGCACUAAAAAAAAUCAGGGAGCUCAGAUUUGCUUUUUGUGUUUUGCAGGUUGUUCAGACUUCAAUGCUGGCCUUUGUGCCUUCUUAUGGACCUUCGAACCCGCAAUCCCAAUACAAACCCCAUACUGUAGCGACACA